GAACGCAUCUUUGUAGGUAUCAAUCGCCCAAUUCAUGGAGCAUCUGUAGCUCAUGCUAAUGAGCUAAUAUCACAGUUGUUGGCUGUUUCUUCGACUAUAAGAAUGUUCCUCUUAUUUUAGAAAAUAUAUUGAAAGAUAGAGAAUAAGUUUAACAACUCAAAUGUGUUUGUAACAGUGUUAUUAUCGAGGAAUAUGUUUAUUAAUGUCGCUUUAAGCUGCUGCCGGUGUGCUAACAUCUGUUCUGCUAGCUUAACCGUUAGCCGAACUGCUUUAAAAUCGACGCCAUUUUUAACCGGAAGUCGUCUGUCCAUCCCCGGAACCUUCUCGAGGAGGAAAAAGGGACUUCUUUUACUAAAUGGGGACGCCAUUUUUAACCGGAAGUCGGGUGUCCAUCCCCGGAACCUUCCUAAACGACGCCCAGGAAAAAAAAGGAUCCUCCUGACUAAGGGUUCUUGUGGCCUUGUCCUAAUGAGAUAUGGAUUCCACUAGACCUCUGUGGUAUCUGGCACCAAGACGUCAGAAGCUGAUGCCGCCACCGUCUUCUAUCGCUCUGUGGUCCAGUCCUUUCUAUCAGAACCAGCGUUCACUGUCUCAGCAGUUUGAUCUCCAGUAGCUCCUCUCUUGGGACAACUUUUACACCAAUAAGUCUUGGCUGUCCAUGACCUUGAUGCUGGUUUCCUCCCUCAGACACCACUUUCGGUAGGUCCUAACCCCUGCAGACCAGGAACACCCCACAAGAGAUGCAGGUUUUGACAUGCUCAAACCCAGUCGUCAUGAUUUGAUCCUUGUCCAAGACGAUCACAUCCUUACACUCGACCAUUCUCCCUCCUUUAAAAUGCUUCAACUUAAGGGACAAAAUGUUCUGUGUCUGUGUUUUUAAAUGUCUAUUUUUUUUGGGACCUACAAACUACAACCUCCAAAUUCUGGCUUCUCUGAUAAAAAAAAUAAGCUAAUGUUGCGUCUGUAACUGUGAUCACAUACUUCAUAUCUUCUUGCCAAAGUUUCAUCACAUUUCAACCAGGAUGAAGCAACACACCCAGCGUGAGGAAACGGUUACUGGUGUAACCGUGGGAGAGGAAAUCUGAUGUUACCUCCAGUCUGAGUAAAAGCAAGUCAUCCUUUUUAACACCCAACAGAUACUUCACUGUGAAGGAAACACAGAAGAAAGACUGAAGCUCAAACGGGAACUGAUAAACAAGCUUUGAGACUUUUUAAGAAAGUCUCAAAGCAGAGCUAAAGUGGAUGAAGGGUCACUGGGGGUCAUUUCAUGCAGCUGAUUCUGCAGGUGAGGUCACGCCCUGUUUUUUAGUCUAUUUUACACUAAACAAGACAAUAAUUUACAGAGUGGACAUCAUGUUGUUUUAAAGACAGCUUGAAACUAAACACUGAGACCAUGAACUCAUCAGGAAGUGUUCACUGAGGUGAUAAACCCAGUGAUGUUUUAUAUCACCACAGUUUUCAGGAUCAAACGUCCAUCUUUAAUAUCUGAGUGUCUCUGUGGGAGGAAGUGACCCACUUUGUUUGCUCUUGUCCUUUCGACCUCGAUUGUCAAAUCCUGAUCUGCAGAGAUGUUGGGGGAAAAAGGGAAGUUGAGUGAUUUCUUGACUUCCUGUCAGCUUGUGUCCGUCUACUUGACGCCCCUGUUCGCAGGACUGGGAGAUUUGGACCCCAGGAUGAUGUUCACCCAUAAUCCUUUGCUUCCACCUGGAAAUCCUGGGAAGAGAGACAACACAACUUGUCUUCUUUACAGCUUACUGAAUGUGCAAAUAAAUCAAUAUCUGAUGUA